UAAAUUCUAAACUCCCAAGAGAGGCCUAUAUAUACUAAAAAUUCCCUCCUCCUUGUAAAGAUUCUCUAUUCAGGCUCCAGCUUCACAAAGUAUGCCCAUUCUCCUCAAAACGUAACAAGUUUAGUCUCAAUAGAUCAAUGGCAGUGUAAGCUCAGUAUCCAAAGGAAACUACUACAAAAGUCAGAGACUUAAUGUUACACUCAUUUUCUGCAGUAAAAUUAGCACGUCAUGUGAAAUUUAUUUCCAUAUCUCAAAUCUGUAAACACGCCUCCCUAGUCUAAAAUCCAAGACCUCUCUAUCCUGGAUUACUCCCACAGCCCCCUGAUUUACUUCCCUCUACACUGCAGCCAUAGUGAUAGGGAUAUGCUGUCUUAAUUCUCUGCUCUUCUUUUCCAAUAGGGAAGGAGUCCAUAUUCCUUACUGUGAUUCUCCUCAGUGAGUAGGCAUCUGCUCAUUGCUCCAACUUCU
rnacentral:lncRNA from 1 species